CAGAAGCAGCUCAGACUGGUCAUGGAAAUGGAAUCAGAACAAAGGCAGUAUUGUAUGGUACCGAAGGGAAAUAUUUCCUGGAAAAAAAAAUCGAAAAAAACAAGAAUGUAACUGAAAAUGAGAAAGUGUAGUGCAGACUGAAAAAAAAUUCCAAUUGUGAAAUAUUUAUUAAAAGCUAAAUACCUCAAACAAGCUCUGUUCUUACAAGAAUCAUUUAAGGUUAUUAAAGAUAAAGUGUUUGAGAUCCAUGAACUACAGUGCCCCAUCCCCUGGUGUCUGUGCUCUUCAUGAACUACUAACUGACCAGAGGCAAGGCAACUGCUCUGAAUAAAAAAGGUUCAAUCUAUUGUCACCCUGCACUCAUGUAUUCCUUUUAUAAAAGCUUUGAAAAGCAGCUUCAUCAGCGCUCCAUUAUAUUAUCUGGGUUAUAAUCUAAGGUAUUUUGAAAAAUAAUGAUGCUCAAAGAGAUUGAACACUAAAACAUUAAUU
ensembl:lncRNA AABR07045334.1